UGGGGAAUCUUGCGCAAUGGGCGAAAGCCUGACGCAGCAACGCCGCGUGCGGGAUGAAGGCUCUCGGGUUGUAAACCGCUUUCAGCAGGAACGAAAAUGACGGUACUUGCAGAAGAAGGUGCGGCCAACUAUGUGCCAGCAGCCGCGGUGAUACAUAGGCACCAAGCGUUGUCCGGAUUUAUUGGGCGUAAAGAGCUCGUAGGUGGUUCGGUAAGUCGGGUGUGAAAACUUUGGGCUCAACCCAAAGCCUGCAUCCGAUACUGCUGUGACUAGAGUUCGGUAGGGGAGCGGGGAAUUCCUAGUGUAGCGGUGAAAUGCGCAGAUAUUAGGAGGAACACCGGUGGCGAAGGCGCCGCUCUGGGCCGAUACUGACACUGAGGAGCGAAAGCGUGGGUAGCAAACAGGAUUAGAUACCCCCGUAGUCCCUGAGCGGGCUGGCAAGGCGCAU
rnacentral:rRNA from 1 species